rnacentral:tRNA from 1 species
GCCAGGGUAGCUCAGCGGUAGAGCAGGGGACUCAUAAGCCCUUGGUCGCGGGUUCGAUUCCCGCCUCUGGCA